UGGAAUAGUUAUUCGUUUUAUCAUAAUACUAAAGGUCAUAUAAGAGACUAUACUAGAUAUCAGCUACUGAAUGAUGAAUACUUUCCAGUGUUUAGUCCUUGUUGCUGCUAUUGGAUUCAUCAUUACUACUAGAGUGUCUGGUGAGGUUUGUUAUACUGAUGAAAACUGCAAGGAUUACAAUAUCUCGACGACCCAGAUCUGCUGCAGUUUUGAAGGAAUUAAGUCUUUCAGGCUUUACAGUGCUGCUUCUUGCAUGAAGUGCAAGCUGUAGUUGAAAUAAAGAAAGCUUUGAAACGGAAGAAGAACUGAUUUAAUAACUAAACAACAAUAAUUAAUAAUGAUACACAUGUACCUCUAAUAUAAUUCAUACUGAUAUUAAUUUCAGCCAAUUAUUA